rnacentral:rRNA from 1 species
GUGAACGCUGGCGGUAGGCCUAACACAUGCAAGUCGAACGGCAGCACCGUAAGAGCUUGCUCUUACGGGUGGCGAGUGGCGGACGGGUGAGGAAUACAUCGGAAUCUACUUUUUCGUGGGGGAUAACGUAGGGAAAUUUACGCUAAUACCGCAUACGACCUACGGGUGAAAGCAGGGGAUCUUCGGACCUUGCGCGAUUGAAUGAGCCGAUGUCGGAUUAGCUAGUUGGCGGGGUAAAGGCCCACCAAGGCGACGAUCCGUAGCUGGUCUGAGAGGAUGAUCAGCCACACUGGAACUGAGACACGGUCCAGACUCCUACGGGAGGCAGCAGUGGGGAAUAUUGGACAAUGGGCGCAAGCCUGAUCCAGCCAUACCGCGUGGGUGAAGAAGGCCUUCGGGUUGUAAAGCCCUUUUGUUGGGAAAGAAAAGCAGCAGGUUAAUACCCCGCUGUUCUGACGGUACCCAAAGAAUAAGCACCGGCUAACUUCGUG